rnacentral:rRNA from 1 species
UGCAGUCGACGCACAGCGAAAGGUGCUUGCACCUUUCAAGUGAGUGGCGAACGGGUGAGUAACACGUGGACAACCUGCCUCAAGGCUGGGGAUAACAUUUGGAAACAGAUGCUAAUACCGAAUAAAACUCAGUGUCGCAUGACACAAAGUUAAAAGGCGCUUUGGCGUCACCUAGAGAUGGAUCCGCGGUGCAUUAGUUAGUUGGUGGGGUAAAGGCCUACCAAGACAAUGAUGCAUAGCCGAGUUGAGAGACUGAUCGGCCACAUUGGGACUGAGACACGGCCCAAACUCCUACGGGAGGCUGCAGUAGGGAAUCUUCCACAAUGGGCGAAAGCCUGAUGGAGCAACGCCGCGUGUGUGAUGAAGGCUUUCGGGUCGUAAAGCACUGUUGUAUGGGAAGAACAGCUAGAAUAGGGAAUGAUUUUAGUUUGACGGUACCAUACCAGAAAGGGACGGCUAAAUACGUGCCAGCAGCCGCGGUAAUACGUAUGUCCCGAGCGUUAUCCGGAUUUAUUGGGCGUAAAGCGAGCGCAGACGGUUAAUUAAGUCUGAUGUGAAAGCCCGGAGCUCAACUCCGGAAUGGCAUUGGAAACUGGUUAACUUGAGUGCAGUAGAGGUAAGUGGAACUCCAUGUGUAGCGGUGGAAUGCGUAGAUAUAUGGAAGAACACCAGUGGCGAAGGCGGCUUACUGGACUGUAACUGACGUUGAGGCUCGAAAGUGUGGGUAGCAAACAGGAUUAGAUACCCUGGUAGUCCACACCGUA